AAGAGACUGACCAGUACAAAUUGCAUGGAAGUCAGCUGACGGUGUAAUAAAGACUGUUAUAUGGUUUAUAUUGUUCAAUUGGCACCUACAAUGUAAUCUGAGUACAUAAAAAACACAAAUUUUAUUAUUAUAUCAUAUGUUUAAUUUAUUUAGUGAAAAAAUUGAAUACAUUGUAGUGCAAUAACAAAAGAAUAUCACUCAAAGUGAUAGGAUCACGAAUAAAGCUGUAUAUAAAGAUGUA